UACGUAGGGGGCUAGCGUUAUCCGGAAUUACUGGGCGUAAAGGGUGCGUAGGUGGUUUCUUAAGUCAGAGGUGAAAGGCUACGGCUUAACCGUAGUAAGCCUUUGAAACUGGGAAACUUGAGUGCAGGAGAGGAGAGUGGAAUUCCUAGUGUAGCGGUGAAAUGCGUAGAUAUUAGGAGGAACACCAGUUGCGAAGGCGGCUCUCUGGACUGUAACUGACACUGAGGCACGAAAGCGUGGGGAGCAAACAGG
rnacentral:rRNA from 1 species